rnacentral:rRNA from 1 species
CCUACGGGAGGCAGCAGUAAGGAAUAUUGGACAAUGCUCGCAAGAGUGAUCCAGCCAUGCCGCGUGCAGGAAGAAUGCCCUAUGGGUAGUAAACUGCUUUUGAACUAGAGAAAAUCCCAGUACGUGUACUGGGCUGAUAGUAUAGUUAGAAUAAGCAUCGGCUAACUUCGUGCCAGCAGCCGCGGUAAGACGAAGGAUGCAAGCGUUAUCCGGAUUCAUUGGGUUUAAAGGGAGCGUAGGUGGACUGAUAAGUCAGUGGUGAAAUCUCCGAGCUUAACUCGGAAAUUGCCAUUGAUACUGUUGGUCUUGAGUACAGUUGCUGUGGGCGGAAUAUGACAUGUAGUGGUGAAAUACAUAGAGAUGUCAUAGAACACCGAUUGCGAAGGCAGCUCACAAAGCUGUAACUGACACUGAGGCUCGAAAGUGCGGGGAUCAAACAGGAUUAGAUACCCUGGUAGUCCGCACCGUAAACGAUGAUUACUCGCUGCUAGGGGGCAACCUUUAGUGGCUUAGCGAAAGCGAUAAGUAAUCCACCUGGGGAGUACGCCGGCAACGGUGAAACGUCAAAGAGUAGUUACGGCGGNGNGAGNGCGACGACGACGACGAGGAGGGAGGAG